GUUUUUGUAGUUGAAAACAACAGUGGUUUUUCGUAUCACAGGUCUUGGUUUGAGGCCAAGCAAAAAUA
rnacentral:tRNA from 1 species